GUGUCAGCCGCCGCGGUAAUACGUAGGUGGCAAGCGUUGUCCGGAUUUACUGGGCGUAAAGGGUGCGUAGGCGGUUUUUUAAGUCUGAUGUGAAAUCCCACGGCUUAACUUUGGAGGGGCAUUGGAAACUGGGUGACUUGAGUGCAGAAGAGGAAAGUGGAAUUCCUAGUGUAGCGGUGAAAUGCGAUGGGAUUAGGAGAAAUACCAGUGGCGAAGGCGGCUUUCUGGACUGCAACUGACGCUGAGGCACGAAAGCAUGGGGAGCAAAAAGGAGUAGAUACCCUGGUAGUCCACGCCGUAAACGAUGAGUACUAGGUGUAAGGGGGUU
rnacentral:rRNA from 1 species